rnacentral:rRNA from 1 species
CAGCACCUCAAGUGGUCAGGAUGAUUAUUGGGCCUAAAGCAUCCGUAGCCGGCGCUGUAAGUUUUCGGUUAAAUCUGUAUGCUCAACAUACAGGCUGCCGGGAAUACUGCAGCGCUAGGGAGUGGGAGAGGUAGACGGUACUCGGUAGGAAGGGGUAAAAUCCUUUGAUCUAUUGAUGACCACCUGUGGCGAAGGCGGUCUACCAGAACACGUCCGACGGUGAGGGAUGAAAGCUGGGGGAGCAAACCGGAUUAGAGACCCGAGUAGUCC